GUAGGUGGCAAGCGUUGUCCGGAAUUAUUGGGCGUAAAGCGCGCGCAGGCGGUCCUUUAAGUCUGAUGUGAAAGCCCACGGCUCAACCGUGGAGGGUCAUUGGAAACUGGGGGACUUGAGUAGAGAAGAGGAAAGCGGAAUUCCAAGUGUAGCGGUGAAAUGCGUAGAGAUUUGGAGGAACACCAGUGGCGAAGGCGGCUUUCUGGUCUGUAACUGACGCUGAGGCGCGAAAGCGUGGGGAGCAAACAGGGAUUAGAUACCCUGGUAGUCCACGCCGUAAACGAUGAGUGCUAAGUGUUAGGGGGUUUCCGCCCCCUUAGUGCUGCAGCUAACGCAUUAAGCACUCCGCCUGGGGAUACGGCCGCAAGGCUG
rnacentral:rRNA from 1 species